UACGUAGGGUGCAAGCGUUGUCCGGAAUUAUUGGGCGUAAAGAGCUCGUAGGCGGUCUGUUGCGUCGGCUGUGAAAACCCGGGGCUCAACUCCGGGCCUGCAUUCGAUACGGGCUGGCUAGAGGUAGGUAGGGGAGAACGGAAUUCCUGGUGUAGCGGUGAAAUGCGUAGAUAUCGGGAGGAACAUCAGUGGCGAAGGCGGCUGCCUGGCCCAAUACUGACACUCAGGUGCGACAGCGUGGGGAGCAAACAGG
rnacentral:rRNA from 1 species